rnacentral:lncRNA from 1 species
CAAGAUAAUCAAUUAAAGGUUGCCUUUAGUCGUCAAUGUCAAUGAACAAUACUGAGAUGACGUUGACUCCUUCUUGUGAUGCCCCAAGUGCUAACGGAACGACCCAACGGUGGCAAAUUGGAAGAUUCACCGCUUCAUCUUUUGUCAACGCCAAGAUAGCAUCAAGGUUCGCUAUGGCAUCUGCCAUUUGGUUAUCUUUU